GAUGAAGAACGUAGCGAAAUGCGAUACUUGGUGUGAAUUGCAGAAUCCCGUGAACCAUCGAAUCUUUGAACGCAAGUUGCGCCCGAAGCCAUUAGGCCGAGGGCACGCCUGCCUGGGCGUCACACGUCGUUGCCCCCCCAUCUACUCCUUCGGGAUUGCGGGGGGCGGAUGAUGGCCUCCCGUGCGCCUCGCCGCGCGGUUGGCAUAAAUGCCAAGUCCUCGGCGACGCACGCCACGACAAUCGGUGGUUGCGAAACCUCGGUUGCCCGUCGUGUGCGGUCGUCGCGCAUCGAGGGCUCGAAAAAAUUGCCGGGUUCCGGCUCGGCUUUCAACGCGACCCCAGGUCAGGCGGGGUUACCCGCUGAAUUUAAGCAUAUCAAUAAGCGGAGGA
rnacentral:misc_RNA from 1 species